rnacentral:rRNA from 1 species
UUGUAUUAUUAGUUAAUGCAAGAUCGACUACGUCGACUAAAGUUCUAGGUAGAAUAAUGAUGAUGACAAUUUUUUACCUAUAUGUCUUGACCAAGUCUCGUGCCAGCAGUCGCGGUAAUACGUGGAAGACUAGUGUUAUUCAUCUUUAUUAGGUUUAAAGGGUACCUAGACGGUAUUUCUAGCCCAAAAUAGGGUACGGAUUUACUAGAGUUUUAUGUGAGGAGGGGAGUACUCGUAGAGUAGAGAUGAAAUUUUGUUAUACUAUGAGGUAACUGGUGGCGGCGAAAGCAACCUUCUAUGUAUAAACUGACGUUGAGGGACGAAGGCUUGGGUAGCAAAUAGGAUUAGAUACCCUAGUAGUCCAAGCAGACAAUUCUGAAUGCCAUAGAUUAGAUUAUUUUUGGUCUAUAAAUGAAAGUGUAAGCAUUCCACCUUAGGAGUAAUGUGGCAACACAGGAACUGAAAUCAUUAGACCGUUUCUGAAACCAGUAGUGAAGUAUGUUAUUUAAAUUGAUGGUCCACAAAAAACCUUACCACAACUUGAAUAUUUUCAAUUAAUACAAGCGUUGCACGGCUGUCUUCAGUUAAUGUCGUGAGAUUUUGGUUAACUCCAUUAAUUAACGUAAACCCUUACUUU